UGUGAAAGGUGCAGAAGCUUUUGAGGGCUUGAGAUAAAAUCUUUAGAUGUGAUUGUUAAUCCUCUAUCGCUAGCUUUUAGUGACAUUAAUAUAUGCAAUUCAUAAGACAUCUUGCAACACCUAGGCAUCUUCCAUUCAAAAUAUUUCAAAACCCUAUUUCCCAACCAUGGUUUUUACUAAAAGCAAAAGCAACAAAGACACACGUAUAUUCCUCUCCAAGCUGCACCAUCUUCUUGAUUAGAUGUUACCACUGGUCACGCACUGUCGCUGGACUCAAAUCAUGGAAUGCUCUCAAGUAGCGAAUCAUUGAAAACCUAGGCUCUAUUCGUCCAUGCUUAUCAAGGUUCUGUUUAAUGGUUACCUCCUAUCACCCUGCUCAACACUCCUUAAAGAUACUGAAGGUGGAGUUUCUUUCCAAUUGGGGAUGAUGGACUAUAGAGGAUAACAGCAGUUAUGGCAGCAAACUGAGCAUUACAAGCUGCCUUAAUCAACUUCAGCUUUACCAGAGGCAGCUGGAGUGGAGCAGGAAGCUAUCAAGCUCUGACAAGGGACAGUGCUUAGCUGGCAAUUCCAGCUUCUGUUGCCAGCUCAUCUCACAUGGCUUUCAAUAACGAGGAGCUGCAAACAAGCUUGAACACAUCAUCUAAGCAAGCUAAAGUCCACUAUCAAAGACAUCUAAUGAAGGAGAAGAAGCAGUUCCUGAAAUGUUGAGUGGGUGCCUUCAGGCUCCUGUAUCUCUUCCUUGAUGAUUCAAUCAUGACCUCUGGCACUGCUUGGAGCUUGCUUAUAUUCCUCUGGUGCUCUGGAUUCCCCCCCCAACAGCCCCAGAGAUCAGGAGGUCUAUAGGCUAACUGACUACUGUAAAUUGAUCAUACUGUGUGGAGUUCUCUCGAAGAUCCUGACCUGGAGUCACACACUGACUUUGGUUCUUUGCGGGAAUGGGACCCGCUCUUGGGGGUCUUAUGACUGGCUGCUAUUCGAUAUACCAAGGAUGUGGCCUAGAAGACUAGUGUGCCUGGAUUUUGUGGCUCUGGAGGCGGUCAGACUCGAAGUCGGUGUCUUCGCAGGAAACUGAUGUGUCAUGGGCAUACAUGGAAGAUCGAAAGUAGCAAGCUGGCUAUUGGCUGUAUGCCCAGAGAACCGAGUUCUUUGGCUACAGAGCUCGGAAAAAGCUACGCAAAGACUAUUAACAUUGUAAAUCAGCAAGUUGUUUGUUAUGUCUCCCCUUGCACUGUGAAACUAGGACAACUCCCCCCCCCCCCCCCCAUUAGGGAGGGGUGAGAGUGUGGUAUGUUGAAUUAGAGGGUGAACGAGUAGUCUUUGGGGUACUGCAAAAGUAUGUCUCUUUAUUGAUUCUUUGCUGUGCGCUUCAGUGCUCAGUGGGGGGGCACCAAUGCUCUUUAGCUGGUGGGGGAGGGGGGAAUCGUUGCUUUACUGCUGCUUAUGUGUGGGAGGAGGGAGUUGGGGGUGCGACUUUGGGAUUCCAACAUUUAACUGUCAUUCAUUCUUUGGGGCACUCCUCUGUUUUCAUGGAUGGUUGUGAAGAAAAAGAAUUUCAGGAUGUAUAUUGUAUACAUUUCUCUGACAUUAAAUGUACCUUUGAAACCUUGUGACGGGUUUGGGCUAGGUAACUUCUAAUCAACAAAAACAUUAUUGGCCAAAUGGGGCCCCACAGUGUUAAAUUUUUCUUAUAAUUUUAGCAAGCUCUAUUAAAUUUUGUUAUAAUAUACCCAGCCAGACUUGGAGCUGAUUACAAUUGGAUCUGUAGGCUUCUAUAUCUAGUGACAUGGUGGAAGAGAAAUAGCAGACAGUAAGUUUAAAUUCAAAAGACCAGCACCUAUUUCUGUCCCCAUCUCUACUCCAAAGAGUAUUUCCAGCUUAACAAUUUAAUUAACUUCGAUGCCUCCCAAUGAGAAGAAUUUCUUCAAGAUACUGGAAAUUCAGCAGGAAAUAACUUAUUCCAAAUAAUACAUACUGAUACAAGUUGUUGGAUUGACAAAUAAUUACAAGAUAAUA